ACGAACGCUGGCGGCGUGCUUAACACAUGCAAGUCGAACGGAAAGGCCCUGCUUUUGUGGGGUGCUCGAGUGGCGAACGGGGGAGUAACACGUGAGUAACCUGCCCUUGACUUUGGGAUAACUUCAGGAAACUGGGGCUAAUACCGGAUAGGAGCUCCUGCUGCAUGGUGGGGGUUGGAAAGUUUCGGCGGUUGGGGAUGGACUCGCGGCUUAUCAGCUUGUUGGUGGGGUAGUGGCUUACCAAGGCUUUGACGGGUAGCCGGCCUGAGAGGGUGACCGGCCACAUUGGGACUGAGAUACGGCCCAGACUCCUACGGGAGGCAGCAGUGGGGAAUAUUGCACGAUGGGCGGAAGCCUGAUGCAGCAACGCCGCGUGCGGGAUGACGGCCUUCGGGUUGUAAACCGCUUUCGCCUGUGACGAAGCGUGAGUGACGGUAAUGGGUAAAGAAGCACCGGCUAACUACGUG
rnacentral:rRNA from 1 species